AGUGGGGAAUAUUGGACAAUGGACCAAAAGUCUGAUCCAGCAAUUCUGUGUGCACGAUGAAGGUCUUCGGAUCGUAAAGUGCUUUCAGGUGGGAAGAAAAAAAUGACGGUACCACCAGAAGAAGCGACGGCUAAAUACGUGCCAGCAGCCGCGGUAAUACGUAUGUCGCAAGCGUUAUCCGGAAUUAUUGGGCGUAAAGCGCGUCUAGGCGGCCUUUUAAGUCUGAUGUGAAAAUGCGGGGCUCAACUCCGUAUUGCGUUGGAAACUGGAAGGCUAGAGUAUCAGAGAGGUGGGCGGAACUACAAGUGUAGAGGUGAAAUUCGUAGAUAUUUGUAGGAAUGCCGAUUGGGAAGCCAGCUCACUGGAUGAAUACUGACGCUGAAGCGCGAAAGCGUGGGGAGCAAA
rnacentral:rRNA from 1 species